rnacentral:rRNA from 1 species
GACGAACCGUGCGAACGUUAUUCGGAAUCACUGGGCUUAAAGCGCGUGUAGGCGGAAGGGCACGUCCGUUGCUGAAAUCCCCCGGCUCAACCGGGGAACGGGCGCGGAUACGACUCUUCUGGAGGGGCGUAGGGGGACCUGGAACUUCCGGUGGAGCGGUGAAAUGCGUUGAGAUCGGAAGGAACGCCCUGGCGAAAGCGAGGUCCUGGACGACUACUGACGCUGAGACGCGAAAGCCAGGGGAGCGAACGGG